rnacentral:rRNA from 1 species
CGCUGUGAAGAUGCAGUGUACCCGCGGCAAGACGGAAAGACCCCGUGAACCUUUACUAUAGCUUGACACUGAACAUUGAGCCUUGAUGUGUAGGAUAGGUGGGAGGCUUUGAAGCGUGGACGCCAGUCUGCGUGGAGCCGACCUUGAAAUACCACCCUUUAAUGUUUGAUGUUCUAACGUGGACCCGUAAUCCGGGUUGCGGACAGUGUCUGGUGGGUAGUUUGACUGGGGCGGUCUCCUCCUAAAGAGUAACGGAGGAGCACGAAGGUUGGCUAAUCCUGGUCGGACAUCAGGAGGUUAGUGCAAUGGCAUAAGCCAGCUUGACUGCGAGCGUGACGGCGCGAGCAGGUGCGAAAGCAGGUCAUAGUGAUCCGGUGGUUCUGAAUGGAAGGGCCAUCGCUCAACGGAUAAAAGGUACUCCGGGGAUAACAGGCUGAUACCGCCCAAGAGUUCAUAUCGACGGCGGUGUUUGGCACCUCGAUGUCGGCUCAUCACAUCCUGGGGCUGAAGUAGGUCCCAAGGGUAUGGCUGUUCGCCAUUUAAAGUGGUACGCGAGCUGGGUUUAGAACGUCGUGAGACAGUUCGGUCCCUAUCUGCCGUGGGCGCUGGAGAACUGAGGGGGGCUGCUCCUAGUACGAGAGGACCGGAGUGGACGCAUCACUGGUGUUCGGGUUGUCAUGCCAAUGGCACUGCCCGGUAGCUAAAUGCGGAAGAGAUAAGUGCUGAAAGCAUCUAAGCACGAAACUUGCCCCGA